rnacentral:lncRNA from 1 species
UAUUUCUUCUUUUGGCAAUAGUUCAUUAAUACAAAAAGCAUAUAUCUUGCUUCAAAAUCUUUAAUGCCAAUAAGCACAAGCAAUAUCCCACAAAUAACUCUAUAGUAUCUUAAAAAAAAGCCAACUACUAAUACUUGAAGGUUUGCAAAAGCCACCAAAGAAUAGGCAUCUUCAACCCCCACCCCCCCACCAAAAAAAAAGAAGAGACUAAUGUAACGUUCUCUAAACUUAUAUUCUAGAGAAAAUAUAGAUCUUAAACUUGUAAAAUGACUACACAAAAUACAAUUUUUCAUGUAGAAAUAGUAGUAAACUUAUCCUUCCAUUCAUAUUCCCCAUAGCCCAACGAUAGUUUCGGUAGUACUGUCCAAGCCUCUGCAUUCCAACGUCUCAAAGAUAAAUUUUACUUCAAAGCCUCCAUAAGGCCUGUCUAUGUCAAACUUUUCUCCAAAUUUAAUGGCAAUAUCAUACCACACGAAGCAAUUUUUACCCUUCUGUAUCAGCAGUUUUCUUAAAUUGUUGGAGAAACCCAAGCAUUUAAAGCACUGCUAUUGCAAUAAAGCAGUUCUCGGAAUUUCGCAGACAUGUUCCCACCUUUUAGCUUUUGACAGACUCCAAAUUACUAUAGCAUCUCCCUUAUCUUCAAAAGUACAAAUAUCACCAUUCAAAACUUGUAGCAGUGGUAUAGGAAAAGCAAAGCCUCCAGACGGAAUAUGAUGUGACGAUGCCUUGAAAGGAAGUCUUAUCACCUCGAACUCUCUCUUACAGAUGUUAAAUCUGACUACGUAUUCCAUUAGGUUACCAGCACCUACCAGUAUAUGCAACCUCUUGAAUACUCUCCUAUCAUAUGUUGUGAAUCGAAUAGGAAAGGCAAUUCUAAUAAUUCCCAACGAGCGUUAUCAUUAACAUGACAAAGAUGGACCUUUGUAGUUUUAUCUCCUUUCAAAAUUGGGUCCAUUACCACAAUUAUUUUUACACAUUCUUCGUUCAUACCAAGAUCGUACUAGUAUUUCACGCAUCGUGUCAAGCAGUGCACUAGCAGAAGCACUCUUCUGUGACGAUUCAAGAAUGGAUUCCAGACUGCGUAAUCGUUCCUGUUCUUGAGGAAAACAAUCCCCUCACAAAUUGUUAACACAUCAGUGCUGCAGGGUUAACACAUCAGUGCUGCAGGUGUAGUGGCGUAGGGGUAUUCUAAUAGAGGAACGGUCAUCAAGACUAGGGAAAGUAGACAUGCCCACAGAUAAAGGGAGACGAGACU